CACGAACGCUGGCGGCAGGCUUAACACAUGCAAGUCGAACGGGUGCAGCAAUGCAUCAGUGGCAGACGGGUGAGUAACACGUGGGAACCUUCCUAGGGGUACGGAACAACUCAGGGAAACUUGAGCUAAUACCGUAUACGUCCGUGAGGAGAAAGAUUUAUCGCCCUUAGACGGGCCCGCGUCGGAUUAGCUAGUUGGUGGGGUAACGGCCUACCAAGGCGACGAUCCGUAGCUGAUCUUAGAGGAUGAUCAGCCACACUGGGACUGAGACACGGCCCAGACUCCUACGGGAGGCAGCAGUGGGGAAUCUUGGACAAUGGGGGCAACCCUGAUCCAGCCAUGCCGCGUGAGUGAAGAAGGUCUUCGGAUUGUAAAGCUCUUUUGCCAGGGACGAUAAUGACGGUACCUGGAGAAUAAGCCCCGGCAAACUUCGUGCCAGCAGCCGCGGUAAUAC
rnacentral:rRNA from 1 species